rnacentral:rRNA from 1 species
GAUGAACGCUGGCGGCGCGCCUAACACAUGCAAGUCGAACGGUUAAGCCACCUUCGGGUGGGAAUAAAGUGGCGAACGGCUGAGUAACACGUGGGCAACCUGCCCCUCGCACCGGGACAGCCUCGGGAAACCGUGGAUGAUACCGGAUACUCCGCCUCCCCCGCAUGGGGAGGGCGGGAAAGCCCAGACGGCGAGGGAUGGGCCCGCGGCCUGUUAGCUAGUUGGCGGGGCAGCGGCCCACCAAGGCGAUGAUGGGUAGCCGGGUUGAGAGACCGACCGGCCAGAUUGGGACUGAGACACGGCCCAGACUCCUACGGGAGGCAGCAGUGGGGAAUCUUGCACAAUGGGCGGAAGCCUGAUGCAGCGACGCCGCGUGCGGGACGAAGGCCUUCGGGCUGUAAACCGCUUUCAGCAGGGACGAGGCGCAAGUGACGGUACCUGCAGAAGAAGCCCCGGCUAACUACGUGCCAGCAGCCGCGGUAAUACGUAGGGGGCAAGCGUUAUCCGGAUUCAUUGGGCGUAAAGCGCGCGUAGGCGGCCAGCCUGGUCGGGAGUCAAAUCCGGGGGCUCAACCCCCGUCCGCUCCCGAUACCGGCCGGCUUGAGUCUGGCAGGGGAAGGCGGAAUUCCCGGUGUAGCGGUGGAAUGCGCAGAUAUCGGGAAGAACACCGGUGGCGAAGGCGGCCUUCUGGGCCACGACUGACGCUGAGGCGCGAAAGCUAGGGGAGCGAACAGGAUUAGAUACCCUGGUAGUCCUAGCCGUAAACG